UGUACGAAAGAUAAGCUAUAAGUGUAGAGAAAAGAGGUGGCAACUUCAAGGACCUAAAUAGAUAUUUUACCCACUUAAUAUCAACAUUUAAGGAUGGAUAUUCAUUCAUUCAAAGAACAAUUUGCAGCAAAGGAAAGGAAGAAUCCGUAACUCCCUUACCCAAAUUCAACAAAUCUUCUAAACCCCAUAACUCACUCAAUUUUGGUCCGAUUGAUGCGAUUCUUGCGGCCACGGAACGAGGAAACGAUUAUCUACAGCUCUAUGGCUUCAAUUUGAGAUCGGACGAGCGACUAUCGACGAGGCUUGAGAAAAAAAAAACGGAUCGAGAUAUCGUCAUUCUUAUUUGAAGAGUUUGGAUAGCAAGUGGGAUAGCAUGAUAUUAUUUGGAAACUCAAGCUUCCGAAGUUUUAAUUCUCGGAAGUCAUUUGCAAAAGAAGUGAAAGAAGGUUUUCAUUCUAGCGGUCCGCAGUAGUUUAGAUGUUUUUUUUUCUAUGUAUUUGUCUAGCGCAUUUUAACUCUGAUAUUUUUGUAAAAUGGGGUCACAUGUAUUUUGAUAUAUGAAAAAUGAUUUGAUUUGCGAAAAAUUUACACAGGAUUUUAGGCUUGCUACGGGUUUCGGAGCUACCACUCCCAUUCCCUAGCGCCGGUCGCGACUCAUAAAUUUGGGUCGUGACAAAGGUGGUAUCAGAGCAAUGGUUUAGAUUCAUAGGCCAUUGCCUGUAUACGAUUGAUGUCUGUAGUUCCUAGUUAUGAUGUCACUAGGUUAAGCUAAGAACUACUGCGGAUUAUAGUGAUUUCCAGUCAUGUCUUUUGAACGUUAUCAACGUUUUCAUCGAUUUUUCAAAAGUUUUACAAAAGCGUCCUCUCCCAUAUGUACUAUUAGGAAUCGAGUUAGAUGUGUGCGAGCACAAAAUAUGUGUGUGUUUACUCGAGUAAGCAAUAUGCUUUCGAGUAUCUAUAGUCUAUGAAGAGUUAUAUACUCUCGAGACUCAUAUGAUGUAUGAAUAUCGUUAUGGACAAUGAUUGAAUUAUAAAUUGGUUGGAUUGGAUA